rnacentral:rRNA from 1 species
AUUGAACGCUGGCGGCAGGCUUUACACAUGCAAGUCGAGCGAGCGGCGGACGGGUGAGUAAUGUCUGGGAAACUGCCUGAUGGAGGGGGAUAACUACUGGAAACGGUAGCUAAUACCGCAUACUAUCAGAUGUGCCCAGAUGGGAUUAGCUAGUGGGUGGGGUAAUGGCUCACCUAGGCAACGAUCCCUAGCUGGUCUGAGAGGAUGACCAGCCACACUGGAACUGAGACACGGUCCAGACUCCUACGGGAGGCAGCAGUGGGGAAUAUUGCACAAUGGGCGAAAGCCUGAUGCAGCCAUGCCGCGUGGAUGAAGAAGGCCUUCGGGUUGUAAAGCACUUUCGGCAGGGAGGCGUUACUCGCAGAAGAAGCACCGGCUAACUCCGUGCCAGCAGCCGCGGUAAUAC